rnacentral:rRNA from 1 species
AGCAGCCGCGGUAAUUCCAGCUCCAAUAGCGUAUAUUAAAGUUGUUGCAGUUAAAAAGCUCGUAGUUGAAUUUCGGGAUUGACACAUCGGUCGUGCCUUAAGGGGGUAUGAACUGGUGUAGUCAAUUUCUCACCUUCUGGAGAACCGCAAUGCCCUUAAUUGGGUGUCGCGGGGAACCAGGACCUUUACUUUGAAAAAAUUAGAGUGUUUAAAGCAGGCAUUUUGCUUGAAUACAUUAGCAUGGAAUAUAAAAUAGGACGGCAUGAUUCUAUUUUGUGGUUUCUAGGAUCACCGUAAUGAUUAGUAGGGAUAGUUGGGGGCAUUAGUAUUCAAUUGUCAGAGGUGAAAUUCUUAGGAUUUAUUGAAGACUAACUACUGCGAAAGCAUUUGCCAAGGAUGUU